rnacentral:misc_RNA from 1 species
UCAUGGCGCCGUUUCUUCUGCGUCACUUAAUCGGUUACGUUGAAGUCAAUUCUUGCAGUUUCCGUAUGUGAUUUUCGCAGUCUGUUUACUGACGAGAAACGCUAUUCAGUGAAGAAUCAAAAGUUCAUCCGAACAAGGCACAGCUAUGGGCCGCUACAGAAGCCGCAGUCGCGACAGAGAUAGAAGACGCAGAUCACGCACUCGCUCGCGUAGUAGGUCACCGCGUGACAGGAGGAGUUGGGGUGGUAGCGGCGGACGUGACAGAGCCACGAGUAGUCGCAACAGCCGUGGACAACCUGGUGCUAACUUGAGAAAACCUCGAUGGGACCUCAGUCGAUUGGAACCUUUCAAGAAGGAUUUUUAUAUUCCUAACGAAGCGGUUCAGAAUCGGGAUCCACGCGUUGUCGAGCAGUACAGAAGUGAGAAGGAGAUAACACUAAGAGGCAAGAACAUACCCAAUCCUGUUUUCAAUUUUGGCGAAGCUGGUUUUCCGGAAUAUGUCCUUAAGGAAAUCACGAAACAGGGUUUUAAUGAACCUACAUCGAUCCAAGCCCAAGGAUGGCCAAUAGCAUUGAGUGGACGAGAUAUGGUAGGCAUCGCAUCUACAGGAUCUGGGAAAACACUGUCCUAUAUAUUGCCUGCUAUAGUUCACAUCAAUAGCCAGCCAAAAUUAAGUCGCAAAGAUGGACCUAUUGCGUUAGUAUUAGCACCUACACGAGAACUUGCUCAACAAAUACAGCAGGUUGCAGAUGAUUUUGGCCACUCGUCGGGCAUUAGGAACACUUGUUUAUAUGGUGGAGCGCCGAAAGGAGCACAAGCUAGAGAUCUGGACAGUGGUGUGGAAAUCGUUAUUGCCACGCCUGGUAGACUAUUAGACUUUCUCGAAUCUGGGAAAACAAAUUUAAAAAGAUGUACAUACUUGGUAUUAGAUGAAGCCGACAGAAUGUUAGAUAUGGGUUUUGAACCACAAAUCAGAAAGAUUAUAGAGCAAAUUAGACCAGACAGGCAGACCCUAAUGUGGUCUGCCACAUGGCCAAAGGAGGUGAAGAAUUUAGCUGAGGAUUUUCUUAAGGAUUAUGCUCAAAUUAAUGUCGGUUCUCUGCAGCUUGCAGCAAAUCAUAAUAUAUUGCAGAUAAUCGAUGUGUGUCAAGAUUAUGAGAAAGAGAAUAAAUUAAGCACUCUGUUGAAAGAGAUAAUGGCUGAAAGCGAGAAUAAAACGAUAGUAUUUAUUGAGACAAAGCGUAGAGUAGAUGAAAUUACGAGAAAAAUGAAACGCGACGGUUGGCCUGCUGUUUGCAUACACGGUGACAAGACACAGCAAGAACGAGAUUGGGUUUUACAAGAUUUCAGAUCAGGCAAGGCACCGAUCCUCGUUGCCACCGAUGUCGCCGCACGUGGUCUCGACGUUGAAGACGUCAAGUUUGUCAUCAAUUUUGACUACCCCUCCUGUUCCGAAGAUUAUGUCCAUCGUAUCGGUCGUACCGGCCGCAGACAGAAGACCGGCACAGCCUACACUUUCUUUACUCCCAAUAACUCCAACAAGGCUAACGACCUGAUACAAGUGUUGAAAGAGGCGAAUCAGGUGAUCAAUCCGAAGCUAUUGGAGCUCGCAGACGGUAAAGCCGGUGGAUAUGGUAGACACAGAGGUGGCAGGAACCGGUGGCGAUCGCGAGGCGGCCGCAAUGGAAAGGAGCGUAGCUACUCGAGAAGCCGAAGCCGAAGCCACAGUAGAGAACGUAACGGUCGCGGUAGCCGGAGGAGUUACAGUCGUAGUUAUACGCGAAGUCGGAGCCCAAUCAAUCGUACAGAGGUUAUCGGCAAGAGCUACUGGAGUAGCGAGAGAUGAUCUUCCAGCGGCGGAUAAGGACAAUGGCAAAGUGAUUUUUUCUUCUUUUUCACACGCAACGCGCGGCAGACGAGAACGGUGCACGACGAUUCGAGAUCAUUGUCUUGAAUUAUACAUUCACUGUUUGCGAUCGGCUAUUUAGGUCUGUCCCAUGGUGUAACCGACGAUUUGCGCAGGUCUCUUACUUCAGGGUUUCAGCUUCAGUGUAAGAGCCUACGAGAUGUAAAGUGAUUUUUUAACCGGAAUACAUCCCGAGGAGAAGAUCUCUGAUGUAUCUUCCGUCGCAACUCUCUGACUCCGAUUCUGAUGUGAUCACAACUUGUGCUGAUUUAGACACCUAAAAUUACUUUCAUGCUGAGAAAAAAUUUUUUAUCCGCGCAACAUUUUACGCUCUUUGAACGUUCUUUGAAGGGUUCGCAAACUCGCAGCGUACUUACUAAGGCCGGUCAUUCACGCGCUACGUUUCGGUAUGCACCAGUGCGUAUAAAGCAUAUUCAAUCGGAUUUAGGUGAAUUUACUUCUCACGACACAGAAGUAUUUGUAAGAACGCUAAAAUGUACUUGGACGAAUUUAACUUGACAUUGACAGUCGUGACUUAUCAUUCACGGAAACGGUGACAAUGUAUGACUUACAGCGCAAUAGUGUAUGCUUACCUAAUCAUUUACUUCCUUCGCGUCUGCCUUCCCCUCCAGUUCUCCAUGUUUAAUUUCUCCCCCUUGCGCGCAUAUUCACGGUACACCGAUUUAGAUUAGACAAUAUAAGAUAUACAAUUGCAAUACGGACUACCAUUUCUAUGUUUUUAUAACUCUUCUCACACUCUUCUCACACUAUUUAGCAGUAAAGGGAAAGAGACGGUGUCGCGGUGCAAGCAAGCGUAUAUGAAAUCCUUAUGAGAUGUAAACUUCCAGAAAUGUGUGUAGCGUUAUUCGCGAGCGAAAUCGACUGUACUCGUAGAUCGUAAUAAAUUAUAGGCGUUUAGCGCUUAUUUGUAAUACAUCCCAGUGUAUUUAGGCGACUUGCAACAAAUAAAAUUCAAUGUACAGUAUUUCUCGGACGUGACAAAUAAA